UGAUGACUGUUCCUCCUGUCGCCUUUAGGUAUGGCGCUAGGAUUUUAGGUCAUCAUAAAUUAAAAUAGAUUUUUUUUUUCACUCAGAGAAUAUUAAGAUGUUGGGAGGCACUUGGUCAUGUCUUUUAGCUCUCAUGGCUGAUUCUCUU
rnacentral:snoRNA from 1 species